rnacentral:misc_RNA from 1 species
UUAAGUUCAGCGGGUAUCCCUACCUGAUCCGAGGUCAAACCAUAGAAAAUAGUGGGUUGUUCGUCUGGCGGGCGGCACCGCGCGCUCCGAAGCGGGUAGAUUGACUACGCUGGGAGGCGGGCACCACUGCCUACGGGUUUCUGGCACUCCUAGCGGACGACGCCCAAUACCAAGCGUGAGCUUGAGGUUUGAAAUGACGC